UCCCUUAGAUGUUCUGGGCUGCACGCGCGCUACACUGAUGCGAUCAACAAGUUUUUCCUAUGUCGAUAGACACGGGUAAUCUUUUGAACUCGCAUCGUGAUGGGGAUAGAUUAUUGUAAUUAUUAAUCUUCAACGAGGAAUUCCUAGUAGGUGCAAAUCAUCAGUUUGCAUCGAUUACGUCCCUGCCCUUUGUACACACCGCCCGUCGCUGCUACCGAUUGGUUGAUCUGGUGAAUUAUUCGGACUGCCGGCUGAAGGGGUUUCCUCAUCUGCCAGCGGAAAGUCUUGUUAACCCUAUCAACUAGAGGAAGCAGAAGUCGUAACA
rnacentral:rRNA from 1 species